rnacentral:rRNA from 1 species
UACGUAGGGUGCGAGCGUUAAUCGGAAUUACUGGGCGUAAAGCGUGCGUAGGCGGUCCGCAAAGUCUGAUGUGAAAGCCCCGGGCUCAACCUGGGAACUGCAUUGGAAACUAACGGGCUCGAGUGUGGCAGAGGGGGGUGGAAUUCCAUGUGUAGCAGUGAAAUGCGUAGAGAUGUGGAGGAACACCGAUGGCGAAGGCAGCCCCCUGGGCUAACACUGACGCUCAGGCACGAAAGCGUGGGGAGCAAACAGG